GGCACUUUUAACCGAGUUCACCACAUGCACGCCUCACGGAGAGGAUAGGAAUGCUAAUCAACUGGUUUCCUCCGCGACUUGCAAACAGAGCGCAGCAAACAGCAACAGCUCGCAACUUGGAGAUCCUCCGAUUCAAAUGUGUUCUGGUUGGUUUUAGAUGUAUUAUUUAGUCUUUAUCCAUCACUAUGUUCAUUGUUGGAUUCAUCAGUAUUGUUGACUGUGAAUUUACUACAUGGAGAUACCAUUUUGUUUAAUAGACAGAGACAGCGGAUUCAUAACGACUUUGUAACAGAGCGGACUUCUGGUGGAUUUCUGGAUUUCUACUCUCAGGAAUUGGGAAGCCCGAGCUGCUUGCUUGUGUGUGUGUGUGGGUGUGUGGGUGUUUAGGUGACUGUGUGAAUAAUUGUGUGAGGAUUCCGCACGUCCAUCCUCAACAGUUAAUGCUGUCAGAGAGCAGAGAAGUGUGUUAUUGAGACACUUAGCGUGGAAACACACACACAGAACCCCCCCCCCAAACACACACACAGUGCUGUCACACACUGUCUGCCGAUGAGCUCUGUCAUGCAGUCGUUUCUCUCUCCAGUGAACAAGGCUAUUCUAGUAGCUCUGUUCAUCUUCGCCAUCCUCCUUAUCCUCUAUGUGAUCCUCUGGUACAUCUGUAGAGACGUGGACUGCGACCACGGUAUCUGAUCUGAUUAACACCGGGAACACCACCGAAUAACCUAACGGUGGAUAGAGACCCGUCUGAAAGAGGGUCACCCUGAGCUGCCCAGACAACAUGGCAGAGUUGGUAUAGUGACGGGAGGCAUCAGUGGAAUCUGCUUUGAGACCGCAAGACACAUGGCCAGCCUGGGGGCACACUUUAUCAUAGCUGGACAGCAGGAGCGGGAGGGUGUGUCUGCUGUGAAGAGGAUUCGUGAGGAGAACAGAGAGGCCAAAGGUCACAGUCCCCACAACCCUGUUUGGUUUUGUGUCUCCUUGGCUCUGGAUAUUACUGAUUGGCUGGAGAGUGAACACACCUUUUCAAAGUGGUGUUUGAGCAGUUGGAUUUGGCGUCUUUGCUGUCAGUAAGGCAAUUCAUCAAGACAUUCAAGAGAGGCUGUAUAGAAGAGGGUUCCCAGUGAGCUCAUGUGCAGUGGACCCUGGGAUGGUCGACACGUCGCUCUACCGCCACCUCUUCCCCCCCGGUCGUCUUGCACAGACAGCCAUCACACGCCUACUCUUUAGGGUACACACGAGCCCGUCCCAGGCAGCGUCUAUGGUCCUCUACACUUCUCUGUCUCCGUCUCUGGAAGGGGAGAGAGGGGGCUACUGGAGCAACGGACGCACAGAGAUGUCAACACCAAACACCUACCACCCCAGGCUCCAGCUCAGCCUCUGGGACUUCAGCUGCAGACUAGUGAGCUUGCAGGAGCAGCACCAACCAUGACCCCUGACCUCUAACCCCUGAGCUCUUAGUCCAUGACCCUGACACCAACACUGUAUGGCUGAGACCCAACACCUCAUCUGUCAUCCUGCCAUUAUCUUUGUUUUCACAAUCUCCUCACCGCCAGACUGUGAUUGGAUAAAGACUGAUGACCAAGGCUGGACUGUGAUUGGUUAGUGAAGCGGUAAGACCUGUUGCAUACUCUUCAGAUGAAUGGGCUGAUGAAAAUGAACCAACCUUCUCCCUCAGGCACUGUGAACCCACACACACUGUGUUAUGAGUGUUUAUAGUGCUGCUAUGAGUGUUCAUAGUGACCUCUUGAAAAUGUAUAGCAACCUUAUGCCGGUUGGUACACAGAUCAGAACAGAAAGAACCUUCCCUCCAUGGGAAAACUUGAUUUAACCAUAAACAAGUGUCAUCAGUGUGUGUAUGUGUCCGUAUCAGUUAUCAGUGUGUGUGAGUGAUUUUGUCAGUAGCAUCCUGUGUCUAUGAAACAUAUCCUGAUCCCUGCCUGACUGGAUGGUCCAGGACCAAGGAACAAGCCGGCAUGGCAAUAACAUCAGUAAAUCACAGCCUGAAACUGAUAUUUUCAGUUCUUGUGAAAGCAAGCAAAAGGUAUUUUGUGGAAUUUUCCCCAACGCUGUGGGUUACUUCCCCAUGGAGCCAACACCAUCUGAGAGAAUGAAUGCUUUUAGAUUGUGUCCUAUCUGCUGGGCUGUGAGUCACACACUGUGUCAUGGUGUUUGUCCGCCUUUGUUACUGUUAGAGGUGAGUGAUGUUUUAUCAAUACAUACAUACACCUCUCUCAAUACAUCAUGUUGCUGUGUGUGUUUCUGGGCACAGUAUGUAUGUGUGUGUGUGUCUUUCAGUGUGCACUGUUUGUGUGUUUCUUACAGUCAUUGGUUUGUAUGCAUCAGUGGCGGUUCUAGCUUGUAUGGCUCACUGGGCGAACCCCCCCUUCAGCACGCCCCCCCCCCUCUAAAAUACACAAUUCUGCACUAACUGUACUUUUAUUCAGACAUUUGGAACAACGCAAAUAAAUAAUCAUCAUUUAAAACUAUAUAAAUAUAAAAAUAUAUACAACAAUAAGAUGCAUAAAUAUCAAAAAGAAGUAACAAAGACAAAUAGAAACAAAUUUGUGUUGAUUUGGCACUUGAACAUCGUCCCAUUACCCAUCCCCCAACACUGUUAACCAAGAGUCAAGAUUAAACCAAUUCACCUUGGUGGUGUCCAGAAAAAAAUGCAACAAUAUGUCUGUGAAACUGUGGUUAUUUAUGGUGGUUUAUUUGGUAUACUUUCGUAGUGUGACCGAUUUUACUAAUUGCAUUAGUACUGUACAGAGUUAGAGGUGCGCUAUUUGAUAGAUUCCCUCACUCCCCCUACCUCUGGCUUCCAGUGGGGAGACCUGAGGUCAUCUCGUACUUCUCGUCAUCUCGUCCGCCCCCUUCCCAUCUCGUACUUCUGAGUGGGAGACCUUCCCAGGCAGUAACCUGUCUAGCUCACAAACUAGAAUCAGGGCACCCACUCCGACAAGUUUAAUUGACCCACAGUCCCACACGGUGACAUGAUAUCAUUGACGUGACGUGCAACUGAGCGAUAGAAAACCGAUCGCGCAAAUGUCACCAUUACGUUUUUGUGUGGGCGUCCCGUGCUGCCCAUGUCACCUGUACCUAAAUCCACCACUGGUAUGCAUCAAUAAAACGGCUGUACAACUGAAACCAAUACGGAUGAAUGUGGCGGUGAGAGCGGGAAAGAGAGACAGAGAGUGAGAGAGAUUCUUCCUCUGUGGUGUUUCAUCUUCUCUCGCUGCUGCUACCUCAUUUUCCCUUGCUCCCAGUGCAUGUGGGAGGUAGAUUUCCCAGUGGAAAUUAUGCAAAGUGAAGACAAAGACAAACAGACGCACACACACACACAUAACCACCUGUGCAACCAAGCACAGACUUAUCGAAACAAUCAAGUCACACUCUCAUGGCCAGGGGCAGACUGGGACCAGAAAUUGGCCCUGGAGUUUCAAACACAAUGGCCCAUUUUAUUAAUUGAGGCCCCCAUUAUUAGCCAGAUAAUGCUAAUUUUGCCCAAAAAACCCAAGUUAGCCCAAUGUGCUAAAAACGGACCAGCCAGUCUUCCCCUGCUCAUGGCCAAACCAUACCCACUGUGAUUUAUCUACCAACAGUGCUCUGAUUUACAGGCUUAUAUCAAACUAGCUUCCUUUAUAUGACACACACAUUCCCACAGAGACUAGUAUAUCAGGACAGGGGAUAACUACAGACUCUGUGUGUAACCUUCCUUUACUUUACCCUUCCAGUCUCCUAGGGGCUGAUUCCAACAUAGGAAGUGUACGCCUUUCUUACGCACGCCUUUCAGACUUACCUUAUGAAGGUGUGUAACAGGCUUUGCAGGCAUGGUUCCCUUGUACACGCUGAAUUAAUAUAUUUAAACUGCUGAAAAACCUCUCAAUUGCUGGCCAACAGAAUUUCUCGUGGUGUUUUCAUAGGGUUUUCAGUACAUUUAUCUAAAGACAUUCUUUUAAAUGUGUUCACUAGAAUAUAUGGAGAGAAUGGGUCAGUAUAUUAGGGAUCAAUAGAAGAAAGCUAUGUAGGCCUAAAUUCAUUUGUCUCUUUUUCAUCACCAAUUGGUAAAUUAAAAAAUACUCUUGUAUUAUUUAGGGUUAGGAAAGUAUUUAUGAAUAAUAAAAUAACAUUUGGAGAGCCUUUACGCACUAAAUAUAUUUGUUGAUUCAUCCUGAAAGUUGCCAUAUAUUUAAUUGUUCAAUUCAUUAAAUAUUGUUCAGGAACAACCGCAACAAACGUGAUGAUGCAAAAUGUAAGGAAACGAACACAAGUGAAAGUUAUACAUGUAUGUGGGUAUAACUGACGGUGGAACCAAUCGUAAAACAUGAAACCAAUCGUAAAAAAAUACAGUGAAAAGUCUGACCAUAUAAUUAAAACUCUAGACAUCAUAAAUCAACUUGGUAGGUUUGGCGCUAUACGUUCAUUUGCACAUGGCUAUAAAGGCCUAUAGUUUGGGUCUCCAAAUGUCAUCCUUGUAAGUUAUAAGGACAGCAUUUCAUAAACUGCACUGUGGAAAAGGUGAUAUGUUGAUAUGCUUCAGUUUGCUGCCAUACUGUAGUACUGGUUUCACAUUUGUCUUCAGCAAUCAUAAGGUAAAAUAGAUCUAAAACAAUUAUCAUUUAUAUUUACUCAUUUACCUAACUUUUUUUUUAAAUACAGUGCAUGGAGAAUGGCGUUAUGUAGAUUGGAAAAAAUAAAGUAGUUUCUUGACCUUAAUCGUUGUUUCAUCACUCGUAAAGGUGGUGGAAUUAUGAGGGAAUUAAGUCAAGAAUACAGCGUUUCUGUAGACACACCUCCACCCCACUUGAAUUUCUUUGAUCUCCACCCCACUUGAAUUUCUUUGAUCUCCACCCCACUUUAAUUUCUUUGAUCUCCACCCCAAAGGAAUAGUGGGUGAAUAGCAUGAUAUUUCAUUCUUAAAUUCAAGGUCAGAAUAAUCGUGAAGAGAAAAGUGCAUAACAAGAGAAUAAGGUUCCAUUUACGCGCAUUUAGCUCGGUCGGAAUCCCCCUACUGAACACAAGGUUCAUGUCUUCCAGAGAGGUGUGUGAGUGUGUAGCUGUCAGACUGCAUGCUCUUUGGGUUGAUUAUUCUGGGUAGGGUCAGGUUAGUUUGGACUAAACCAAGGUUAUCUGCUGUAUACCUCAUUGGGCCAACAGAGUACUUUGCAAUAGGGUGCCAUUUUGUACACAGCCCAUAUAAUACACCCUUAGGGUUUGUAUUAAAUGGUUCUGUCCCAGUCGGAUGGGAAAACACACAGGGCUCCACUCAAUCAAACACAGUAGUCCUACAGUCCAUUGUCAAAUUAAUCACAGAAUGUUUCUGGUUUCUGAAAACAUAACUUUAUUCCCAGCUGUGAGAAUCCCAUCACAGGCACAUGUAGAUAAUUCCAGAUUUUAAAAUAAGAAGUGUGUGUUUGCAGAAGUUUGUAUGAACAUCACCAUGAUGUGUUUGAUUGAAUUCCAGACUGUUGACAUACAUAGGGGGCUACAGGAGAAUAGACAAGAUAUUGAUCAUGUUGAUUUAAAAUGUGCAAAAUAUAUUUUGGUUGAAAAUGUAUCUCUUGCUUUGCUGUGCCUGAACUCCCUCAAAUGUAGAAUUCGACUGAAUUUCCAUGUAAUUUAGCUGUAGUAAAACUGAACUGUAGUGUCUUGUUAUUGUCAUAUUUCUGUAAAAACCUUUGAUAAACAGUGGUCUGCUGUUUGAGAAGUAUGAAGACCUUAUACCUGCAGGAGAAAGACUUCUGUUCACUAUGAAGACUGUGUCAUAUGGAGAUUAUGGUUAGUGUGAAUAUGGAGGUCAGUGUUUGUCAAUAUGAAGAGUAUUUUUAUGUGGUUGUGAUGUUCUCCUCCUUUUCUACCACCCAAAACCUCCAUAAACAUUUCAUUGUGCC
ensembl:lncRNA